CGGGUGCGAGUAGAGUGGCGGACGGGUGAGUAAUGCUUAGGAAUUUACCCAAUAGUGGGGGAUAACUCGAGGAAACUCGGGCUAAUACCGCAUAUACCCUAAGGGGGAAAGAUUUAUCGCUAUUGGAUGAGCCUAAGUCAGAUUAGCUUGUUGGUAGGGUAAUGGCUUACCAAGGCGACGAUCUGUAGCUGGUCUGAGAGGACGAACAGCCACACUGGGACUGAGACACGGCCCAGACUCC
rnacentral:rRNA from 1 species